rnacentral:rRNA from 1 species
AUGGUGGCUGGUGAUCUUAAUGAUAUAAUGUUCUCCUUUGAAAAAGAAGGGGGUAAUCCCCGACCAGCUCAGUACAUGGCGGCAUUCAGGGACACCCUGGAUGAGUGCAAUCUAUCGGACCUUGGCUACUUUGGUCACAAGUUUAUCUGGCAUAGAGGAAUGAUAAGAGAGAGGCUCGAAUGAGCAGUUUCAAAUGAUGCAUGGAAUUCCACGUUUCCUACAGUGAGGCUUGAGCAUCUGGACUACCACAAGACUGAUCAUCGACCACACCUGUUCAAUUUGGUAGAGGAAGUGGCUCAUGAACAUACUAGGCCGGCAGUGCUUCGGUUUGAGGCCCGAUGGCUCAAGGUGGAAAAUUUUAGGAAUGUUGUGGAAGAGGCUUGGCAUGGCCUUGGGCCGGAAAUUCAAAAUGAUGGUCUGGCGGGGAAGCUAGCACAUGUGCAUAAAGCUCUUCACCUAUGGGAUAAAAUAAUGCUCCAUAACUCCUCAAAAAAGUUGAAACGAGUACAGAGAGAGCUGGAGUGA